CCUACGGGAGGCAGCAGUGAGGAAUAUUGGUCAAUGGACGCAAGUCUGAACCAGCCAUGCCGCGUGAGGGAAGACGGCUCAAUGAAUUGUAAACUGCUUUUGUACGAGGGUAAACGCAGAUACGCGUAUCUGUCUGAAAGUAUCGUACGAAUAAGGAUCGGCUAACUCCGUGCCAGCAGCCGCGGUAAUACGGAGGAUUCAAGCGUUAUCCGGAUUUAUUGGGUUUAAAGGGUGCGUAGGCGGUCGGAUAAGUUAGAGGUGAAAUCCCGGGGCUCAACUUCGGAAUUGCCGUGGAUACUGGUCGGCUAGAGAGUAGUUGCGGUAGGCGGAAUGUAUGGUGUAGCGGUGAAAUGCUGAGAGAUCAGACAGAACACCGAUUGCGAAGGCAGCUUACCA
rnacentral:rRNA from 1 species